AUUGUAACACCGGUUUCCGUGCGAUCAUUGGAGUUAAGCAAGGUCGAGUUUGGUCAGUACUUAAAUGGGUGAUCGCUUUGGAAUACCAGGUGCUAUAA